rnacentral:lncRNA from 1 species
CAAGGACCUUUAAUCCUUUUCUGUUGAAACUUUGGUCUGAAUGACAAAAGAGAUGGUCUUUCUGUACAAGGAGCAACAUGAAUGAAUAAAUGCAUGCUAUGACAGCCUGGGCAAUCAUUUUAUUCAGGACUACCAGCCCAACAGGCAGCAUGUCUGGCAAGCUAGGCAACGGUCUCUCUACUACCAUCACUACGGGCUGCACCUUGGAAAGAGCACUGUACCGCU